UACGGGGGGAGCAAGCGUUGUUCGGAAUCACUGGGCGUAAAGGGCGUCUAGGCGGUUUGGUAAGUGGGAUGUGAAAUCCCCGGGCUCACCCCGGGACCUGCAUCCCAAACUGCUGAGCUUGAGUACAGGAGAGGGUGGGGGAAUUCCAGGUGUAGCGGUGAAAUGCGUAGAUAUCUGGAGGAACACCGGUGGCGAAGGCGCCCACCUGGCCUGCUACUGACGCUGAAGCUCGAAAGCUAGGGGAGCAAACGGG
rnacentral:rRNA from 1 species